rnacentral:lncRNA from 1 species
ACUCCGCCGCCAGCCCGCGCUCUGGCGCGCGUGCGCCAACAACGGAAAGUCAUACUAAAGCAUGAUGAAUUUCUUAAGGAUACUUAAGAGGAGAAAUGAGGAAACUUGUCCUUUGCUAUUCAGUUUAAGAAAAAAAGUCCUGUAAAAGGAAUUUUGACUGGCAUAAGCAAAAAGGCAGUCUUUGAAGUACUGUGUGCACAAAGAAGCAUCUUCAGACCAUCGUGGGAGGAGAGGUCAUCUACAAGUUACUGUCAGUUAGCUUUACCCCAAGAAACUAGAUGACUGGAGAAACCUGUAAGGCAGCUGGAUAUGUUCCCUGCACAGAUCAUCUGUGGACAUUUGCAUGGAUGCAUAGAACUUACCUUUCUAACACUGAAACACCAUCUGCAUUAAAGGAGUAAUAGCAGUAACAGUAAACAAUUCUUCAGGUGAAUCAGGCCUAAGGAAGAGCUGCCAACUGUAACCCAAAAUGCACAUCUACUUCCUUCAGAUAUCUUUGUUUCUCUCUUUUUGAGUGGCAUAAAUUGUAGUGUGUAAGACAGCAUUUGCAAGUGCUGUAGCCAGGUGUAUGUGUUUUGAAAGACAGGACAAAUAAAAAUGUGGACAAUG